GCACCUUGAGAGCCCUGGGCUACUCUGUCACAGCCCCUGUUGCCCUGCGAUCUGUAGGUCCUUGGGGACGCAUAGUUAAGGUGCCAGGACAUCCUGGAAGCUGGGAAAUGGUAUGUAUUCAUUUCGUACCACCGUAGUGGAAGAGAGACUAUCCCUAUCAAUACACCUGGUAACAUUCCCAACAGUAAGUCGUGAGAUUCUGCUUGAAAUCACCUCUCAGACAAAUAAAAAACAGUCCUGGGAAAUGUACGACACUCAUUCUGCUAAAGAAAUAGGCAUCAUAGCUGGGGAACAGGGAUUCAAAAGACCCAGGCUGUUCCCUACAUAUGUUUCCUCCUCAGACAUCAGUUAAUCAGUCAAUCAAGUCAAGUGAGAGUGGAGGCCAUGUAUUCCCUCUUAUUCUUGGGCACUCUCCUCCAAGGAGGAAAAGGCCAGGAGGUCCUGUUAGAGGAUGCACUCUGAGAGCCCGGGCUCCCUAAGGUAUGAGAGUUCUAACCAGCAGGUGUAGACUUUUCAGGAGUGAGGAAUGAGGCAGGCAUUCCAAACCUGGAGCUUCAUCACCUUUUGUUUCAUCUCAAGACAAUUCUGAGGGGCUGUUUUGGAGCGUGUCUGGAAGGUGAACGUUGAAGAAGAGUGUGGGCUUUGAUGUGACUCAGAUGAGAUCUUUCAUGGGGAGGCAGGAAUUCAAUGCCCAGAAUCUGGGCUGGUGUCUUUGAGGUCAGUAGGUUGCCUCUUUGUAUCCAAGUCCAUUGUUACUAAAUUGGAGGCUGGAGAUUCUAAAUGGCUUCCAGACCAUCUCUCUGAUUCUCUUUGGGAGAUUGGGUCUGAAAAAGACAAUGUCAGUAUUUUUGGGAAAUUCUAGAAAGUCUGCUUGGAAACCUGGGAAGACCUCUUGCCUAGUGCCU
ensembl:lncRNA novel transcript